rnacentral:rRNA from 1 species
AUUGAACGCUGGCGGCAGGCCUAACACAUGCAAGUCGAGCGGAUGAAGGGAGCUUGCUCCUGGAUUCAGCGGCGGACGGGUGAGUAAUGCCUAGGAAUCUGCCUGGUAGUGGGGGAUAACGUCCGGAAACGGGCGCUAAUACCGCAUACGUCCUGAGGGAGAAAGUGGGGGAUCUUCGGACCUCACGCUAUCAGAUGAGCCUAGGUCGGAUUAGCUAGUUGGUGGGGUAAAGGCCUACCAAGGCGACGAUCCGUAACUGGUCUGAGAGGAUGAUCAGUCACACUGGAACUGAGAAACGGUCCAGACCCCUACGGGAGGCAGCGGGGGGGAAUUUUGGAAAAUGGGGGAAAGCCUGAUCCAGCCAGGCCGGGGGUGUGAAGAAGGUUUUCGGUUUUUAAAGCCCUUUAAGGUGGGGGGAAGGGAAGUAAGUUAAAACCUUGCUUUUUUGACGUUACCAACAAAAAAAACACCGGCAAACUUCGU